rnacentral:tRNA from 1 species
GGAGAGGUGGCCGAGAGGUUGAAGGCGCAGCAUUGGAAAUGCUGUGAUGUGAAAGCAUCCGUGGGUUCGAAUCCCAUCCUUUCCUCCA